CUCUUAUAACCCUCAUCCACCACUAAAACACUAUCAACAUGCUUAUUCCCUGCACUAACAUCCACAGACUUUCUAGUCACUUUCUCAUUUUUCAUACCAACAUCAACAUUUUCUGCAGUGGAUCUCACCAUUGCAGAAGGAUUCACAACCAUCUAUCCAACAUGCCUUUUCCCUCUACCAAUCGCCAUAAAAAUUUCAUCAGUAUCAAUAUUCCGAAAAAUCUUUUUUUAAUUCAUCCAAACUGGGAUAUAAUGGUACAACAAAAAGCACAUAAGCAGGAGGUGCUGCAGAGGCCUGAACAUACUUUGUAGUCUGAUCAGGAACAAACCAUAACUGAGCACACUUUAACCAUCCUGUAGCUGCAUUAUGCAUAUACUUUUUAUCCCAUUUUGGAUCUCCACCUGGACCCCACUUUUUAAAACCUUUAAUACACAUACCUUUC
rnacentral:lncRNA from 1 species